rnacentral:piRNA from 1 species
GCAGCAGGUUAAAGACUGAACGGUUAGUGU